rnacentral:sRNA from 1 species
AUUCUACCCAUGUGGGGAAGGAUGAGAAGCUUCGACUAAGGUUCGAUUCGAGCGCAGCGAGAAAGCGUUGCCGCAGGCAACGACCCGAAGGGCGAAGCGCGCAGCGCUGAGUCAUCCUUCCCCCUCAUCCU